rnacentral:tRNA from 1 species
AGGCCCUAUGCCCGAAAGUUAAGGACUACUUUGAUAGAGUAGAAAAUAGGGGUUCAAACCCCCUUAGUGCCUA